rnacentral:rRNA from 1 species
GAUGAACGCUGGCGGCGUGCCUAAUACAUGCAAGUCGAGCGAACAGACGAGGAGCUUGCUCCUCUGACGUUAGCGGCGGACGGGUGAGUAACACGUGGAUAACCUACCUAUAAGACUGGGAUAACUUCGGGAAACCGGAGCUAAUACCGGAUAAUAUAUUGAACCGCAUGGUUCACUAGUGAAAGACGGUUUUGCUGUCACUUAUAGAUGGAUCCGCGCCGCAUUAGCUAGUUGGUAAGGUAACGGCUUACCAAGGCAACGAUGCGUAGCCGACCUGAGAGGGUGAUCGGCCACACUGGAACUGAGACACGGUCCAGACUCCUACGGGAGGCAGCAGUAGGGAAUCUUCCGCAAUGGGCGAAAGCCUGACGGAGCAACGCCGCGUGAGUGAUGAAGGUCUUCGGAUCGUAAAACGCUGUUAUUAGGGAAGAACAAAUGUGUAAGUAACUAUGCACGUCUUGACGGUACCUAAUCAGAAAGCCACGGCUAACUACGUG